UGAGGAAUAUUGGACAAUGGGCGCAAGCCUGAUCCAGCAAUGCCGCGUGCAGGAUGAAGGCCUUCGGGUUGUAAACUGCUUUUGUACGGAGCGAAAAGGUCUGCCCUAAUACGGUGGGCUCAUGACGGUACCGUAAGAAUAAGCACCGGCUAACUACGUGCCAGCAGCCGCGGUAAUACGUAGGGUGCGAGCGUUAAUCGGAAUUACUGGGCGUAAAGCGUGCGCAGGCGGUGAUGUAAGACAGAUGUGAAAUCCCCGGGCUCAACCUGGGACCUGCAUUUGUGACUGCAUCGCUGGAGUGCGGCAGAGGGGGAUGGAAUUCCGCGUGUAGCAGUGAAAUGCGUAGAUAUGCGGAGGAACACCGAUGGCGAAGGCAAUCCCCUGGGCCUGCACUGACGCUCAUGCACGAAAGCGUGGGGAGCAAACA
rnacentral:rRNA from 1 species